rnacentral:rRNA from 1 species
GUGGGGAGCAAACAGGAUUAGAUACCCUGGUAGUCCACGCCGUAAACGAUGUGCACUAGAUUCGAGAGGCUCUGACGCCAUUCAGGCUCGAAGCCAAAGCGUUAAGUGCACCGCCUGGGGAGUACGGUCGCAAGGCUAACACUCAAAGGCAGCGACGGGGGCUCACACAAGCGGUGGAGCAUGUGGCUUAAUUCGAAGCCACGCGAAGAACCUUAUCCCGGGUUAGACAGGCACGGAUACCCUCGCCGAAAGGCGAGUAAGUUGCCCAUUAGGGUGAAACGAGCACAGGUGCUGCAUGGCUGUCGUCAGUUCGCGCUGAGAAGAGGUGGGUUAAGUCCCUUAACGAGCGAAACCCCUGUCGCUAGUUGCUAACAGGUCUCCGGACGCUGAGGACUAUACGCGAGACUGCGCGGUGUCAAACCGGAGGAAGGCGGGGAUGACGUCAAGUCCUCAUGGCAUGUAUGCACAGGGCUGCACACGUGCUACAAUGGCGUGCACAGAGCGACGCAAUACCGUAAGGUGGAGCAAA